GGCGCCAUAGCCAAGUGGUAAGGCAGGGCUCUGCAAAAGCCUUAUCCCCAGUUCGAAUCUGGGUGGCGCCUCCA
rnacentral:tRNA from 1 species